GGCGCAAAAUGCAGGCAAUGCCCAGCCUUAACGCCUGAAACCCUAGGCCAAAGGGCAAAGGCCCACUAACUGUAUGAAGCGCCUUCCACAUAAAAAUCACGUAUAUUUUAGGGAUAUCACUACAGAAACUUUGUUCCAAAAAUCACUUGGUAGAUAUCAUUAUCAUCAAUAUCAUCAUUCAUCAUACUAGGCCCACGUUUUUUUUUGCGCCUCUCGCCUUGGCCCCAUUUGGGGUCAUUGCGCUUUGAGUUCUCUUUCGCCUUUGACAACUAUGGGUAGUUCAAAUCAUCUUUUGAUUUUAAAAAAGGGCAAAAUGCUUUAUAAGAUAGUAUAGAUAUAGAUAUUGCAUAUUUUAGUUUGUAAUUUCUUAUUAGUGAUGCACGGAUUCUCUAAACAUCAGUUGUAUGGUGCUUAGAGAAUCAGACAAUACGUAAGCGAAAUCCAAAUUUGUGUCAAAUUCGUGUGUGUUUUCGUGAUUUUCCUUUGUAGAUCGAUGUGAACCCCUUGAUCCCAUAUUGAUACUUGCGAGACCCCCAUGCUGAGUUUUUUGUAUUGAUGGAUGGAACACAAGGCGGAUGUUAACAAUGAGAGCGACCAACACCAACCUUCAUCAGCAAAAUCAGAUUUUCUUCAAUGGAGCAAAUGGCAAUUACUUGAUUCCAUUCUUCCAACAGGUGGCUUCGCUCAUUCCUUUGGUCUCGAGGCAGCAAUGCAGUCCCGUAUUGUCUCUCACCCGGAAGACCUUCAAACAUAUGUAAUCCAUGUCUUGGAGAAUACAGGAAGCCUACUCCUUCCAUUCGUUUUCUCAGCCACCACAUCACCCGAUCUUCAAACAUGGCAACACCUUGACAUGAUUUUGGAUGCAACACUAACAAAUGAAAUAAGCCGUAAGGCAUCAGUGUCACAAGGAUCGGCACUCAUGAGGGUGUCCUCUUCGGUUUUUUCAGAGAUUCCAUCUUUGAAGAUAAUGAGAAGUUCUUCUUUAAGCAACGGGAAUGUGUGCUUUCACCAUGCUCCUAUCUUUGGGAUUGUUUGUGGACUUCUUGGGUUGGAUACCGACACGUCGCAGAGGGCUUAUAUGUUUAUAACCGUGCGAGAUAUUUUAUCUGCUGCAACCAGACUCAACCUGGUGGGACCCCUUGGUGCUGCUGUAUUGCAACACCAGAUUUCGUUUGUUGCUGAGGAGCUCUUAAAGAAAUGGAAGAACCGAUCAAUAGAUGAAGCAUGCCAAACAAAUCCUCUGCUUGAUACAGUACAGGGUUGUCAUAGCUACUUAUUUUCAAGACUUUUUUGCUCAUGAAUACAAAUGCAGCACUCAUUCACUUGUUCGUUAUUCAGUUAUUUGAUGGCAGUUCUCUUAAUGGCAAAAUGAAUGAUAGAGAAAAUUGUGCCCGCACUUUUGAAAUAUCACUCAUGAGGAUGACCUGUUGUUGGGAAACACCCCAAUGGAGGUACACUGAAGACUCCAAUUCUUUUUGCACCGAGUUUGUAUAUAUCCUAAUUUAAUCAUGCCAAUACCCAAUUAUAUGUCACAAAAUUAUCUUGCUCCAAGCAUGUAUACGUCCUUUAAUGUGUUUUUUUUUUUUCAAAUAUCAGAUUUUAUUGUGUUCAUAUGUAUGGACAAUUUGUUACGUGUUUGUAAGUCUGAAAAAAAAAGAUAAUUUUUUUA